AGCUCCAAUAGCGUAUAUUAAAGUUGUUGCAGUUAAAAAGCUCGUAGUUGGAUCUCGGGUCCAGGCUUGCGGUUCGCCUCGCGGCGGCACUGCUCGUUUCCUGGGACCUACUGGCCGGUCUGCCCCUGGUGCUCUUAACUGAGUGUCUCGGGUCGCCGGAACGUUUACUUUGAAAAAAUUAGAGUGUUCAAAGCAGGCGCGUCGCCUGAAUACUGGUGCAUGGAAUAAUGGAAUAGGACCUUGUUUCUAUUUUGUUGGUUUUCUGAAGCGAGGUAAUGAUUAAGAGGGACAGCCGGGGGCAUCGGUAUUGCGGCGUUAGAGGUGAAAUUCUUGGAUCGCCGCAAGACGAACUAGUGCGAAAGCAUUUGCCAAGAAUGUUUUCAUUAAUCAAGAACGAAAG
rnacentral:rRNA from 1 species